rnacentral:rRNA from 1 species
GACAGAGGUGCCAAGCGUUAGGCGGAAUCACUGGGCUUAAAGCGUGUGUAGGCGGGCGAUCAAAUACCUUGUGAAAUCCCACGGCUCAACCGUGGAACUGCUGGGUAUACUGGUUGUCUUGAGCCAGCUAGGGGCGAGCGGAACAGACGGUGGAGCGGUGAAAUGCGUAGAUAUCGUCUGGAACGCCGAAGGUGAAAACAGCUCGCUGGGGCUGCGCUGACGCUGAGACACGAAAGCCAGGGGAGCGAACGGG